CUGGGCUCCCUGUGCUGUGUGAGGGGCCCUCGCACGCCCUGGGUAAGCCCUGAGGAAGGGCAGCACCUUCCCAGUAGCAGCGCUGGCCAAAACACACACAACAAGAUUAUCUAAAGCUAGUCCUGGGGACAGCCCCCUCUGCACUGAGACAGGCGACAACUGCAGGAUGAAGCAUUUCCUUUAACAGUUGCAUCAGCCCCCUCUCUGAAGAAAACAUAAAGCUUCUGAAACCAAGCCACCUUGAAAUUUGGGAAGCGGCUUUUCUAGCUGAAGUUUGUCUUUGCUGCAGCAGAGCAACCUAAAGCACUUGACUAUUACUCACUCAGGGGGACUUUUUCCAGUUAGCAGUUGUUUCACUUUUGCUUUCUUCCUGACAGAAACUGAUCUCCCUUCUGAACGUCCAUUGUAAAAGAAACUGAGUAACAGACUGUGAAACUGCUUAGAAGAUAGAAAAUAUCUACAAAAAUACAGAAGAUAUCUACAAAAGGACUGUUCUAUCAUUGGAUGCAUUUCUUGUCUCAUUAAUUUACUGGGGGUCUGCCCAUUACAUUCUUUCCCUGGCCAACCCAUAAGAAAACACACAGAUGCUUAGAAAGGAAGUGUCUCUUCAUAGAAUCAUUUCUAAUUUUAAUAUGUUAGUUUCUAUUUGAUAAAGUAGAUGUUCCUAACAGCACGUAGAAAUGUUUAAAAAUAUUGUUAACUGUGCAGUACAUUUGAGCUUGCAUUUGAACAACCUUGCACAAAAAGAAGAAAUUAACAUUGUUUGGGAUAAUGCAAGUUUCCUAAUUCUAGUAACUUUUUCUAAAUUUAAACAUGAACAAUAUUUAAACACAACAGAAAUGAUCUCAUUUUCAUUUCUGUAUUAGCCAUGCUCAAUUAUUCAGUUCUAAUCCUGCAGUCUCAAACACACCCUUAAAUAACCUACUGGACUCCUCAGUGGGUUAAGGUGAGCACAUAUAUAAGUUUGAGUAUUUGCAGCAGAACAUUAGUCUUGACUUAAACUGUCAUCACAUCUAAUGUAGACAAGAAAUGCAAGUGUACUUUAUGACCACAUAUGUUGCCAUACAAAGACAUCCUCUGGAUAUGACUUUGGUCUAUAUACUGCAUUGAAAUACAGCAUAGAGAGGAAGCAGACCAGGAAUUCCAGUUUAGAAGGGCUUUUGGGUAACCUCCAUUUACGGAAUUUACAUAAAAUGUUGUAAAAAUUUAGAAUUUAUUUCAUUAAAAAUUUAUAAAAUAACAAAACUAAUGUAUUUUGAAAAAAAUCUCAAAAUUCUACAAAAACUGUGAAGGCUUUUUCCAUCUAUAAUUACCAUCUGAAUAUUCAACAUUUGGCAUGAAAUGCCUACUGAAAAUGAAUAUUUGAGUCAGUUUUUUUGGACUAUGUGGAUGCUGUAUGUCAACUUCUAAAGCAACACGAAACUCCUCAUUCAGAGUCCAAAAAAAUGGAGGAAGACCCUAAAAAUGUAGCAGAAGCAUUUCCGCACACUGAUUUCAGUAGUCAAGUUUGUGCAGAAGUGAUUCCACUAGAUUCAUAGGGCACCUUUUUGAGGCAACAGAAACUUCUCACUUCAUAAGCUUUUUGACAUUUUCCAGCUCUUCUAUAGGCUGCCAUUUCUGCUGGAUUGUUAAUAGCUGGAAGAAAUGGAAAAUAUGAAAGUUAGCAAAAUCCCAGUGGGCAUUUACUCCACUCCCACACCCCCCAAGUCAUACAUCAACCUAUUGGUGAAGAAUUUCUAGUAGCUUUACAUUUUUCUUUCAGAGGUAUGCAAGAAUAGCAACUGAUGACAUAUAUAAUAAUUUGUUGAACAAAAUAGUUUGGAUAUUACAUAGAUAAUAAUGCCAAAGAAUUUUAUUUUUCCUUAUAGUAGAUGCUCUACUAAAUAAAGAUAUUUUUCCUUCAGGCUGCAGUACCUAAAUAUUCUUAGUCAAUUUUGUAACUCAGGAACAAGGGGAAACAGCCUUCCUCUGUACUCCAAAUUUCCAGUGUUAUCAAUGGAUUUGAGUAAAUGGAUGUUGGCAGUGGGAACAGACACAGCACAGCAACUAGAAGAGCACCAUAAGUUCAAGAUCAGACCUAGAAUGUAAUAGCUGAUUCCCUAUCAUUAGGUAACACAGGGAAGAUAUAAAGUAAUGAACUAAAAUUUUGUUUCUACUAUUAAUUAGAUAUACAUCAGCUUUACUUGUGUUUCCUCAUGAAUAUUUUGCUAGUUCUUACACAUUAAAACAAGUUACUCACUGUGUUGGAAA